GGACUACCCGGGUAUCUAAUCCUGUUUGCUCCCCACGCUUUCGCACCUCAGUGUCAGUAUGAAUCCAGAAAGGCGCCUUCGCCACUGAUGUUCCUUCUGAUAUCUACGCAUUUCACCGCUACACCAGAAAUUCCCCUUUCCUCUAUCCUACUCUAGUCAUACAGUUUCAAAUGCAGUUCCCAGGUUAAGCCCGGGGAUUUCACAUCUGACUUGUAUAACCACCUACGUGCGCUUUACGCCCAGUAAUUCCGAUUAACGCUAGCACCCUCUGUAUUACCGCGGCUGCUGGCAC
rnacentral:rRNA from 1 species